rnacentral:rRNA from 1 species
GACGGAGGAUGCAAGCGUUAUCCGGAAUGAUUGGGCGUAAAGCGUCCGCAGGUGGCAAUUCAAGUCUGCUGUCAAAGACCGGGGCUUAACUUCGGAAAGGCAGUGGAAACUGAACAGCUAGAGUAUGGUAGGGGCAGAGGGAAUUCCUGGUGUAGCGGUGAAAUGCGUAGAGAUCAGGAAGAACAUCGGUGGCGAAGGCGCUCUGCUGGACCAUAACUGACACUCAGGGACGAAAGCUAGGGGAGCGAAUGGG